rnacentral:rRNA from 1 species
CCAGACUCCUACGGGAGGCAGCAGUGGGGAAUAUUGGACAAUGGGGGGAACCCUGAUCCAGCGACGCCGCGUGAGUGAAGAAGUAUUUCGGUAUGUAAAGCUCUAUCAGCAGGGAAGAAAGAAAUGACGGUACCUGACUAAGAAGCCCCGGCUAACUACGUGCCAGCAGCCGCGGUAAUACGUAGGGGGCAAGCGUUAUCCGGAUUUACUGGGUGUAAAGGGAGCGUAGACGGCGAUGCAAGUCUGAAGUGGAAGGGGGGGGCCCAACCCCGGGACUGCUCUUGGAACUGCGUGGCUGGAGUGCAGGAGGGGCAGGCGGAAUUCCUGGUGUAGCGGUGAAAUGCGUAGAUAUCAGGAGGAACACCGGUGGCGAAGGCGGCCUGCUGGACUGCAACUGACGUUGAGGCCCGAAAGCGUGGGGAGCAAACAGGAUUAGAUACCCUGGUAAC